CCUACGGGAGGCAGCAGUGGGGAAUAUUGCACAAUGGGGGAAACCCUGAUGCAGCGACGCCGCGUGAGUGAAGAAGUAAUUCUGUAUGUAAAGCUCUAUCAGCAGGGAAGAAAAUUACGGUACCUGAGUAAUAAUGCCCGGCUAACUCCGUGCCAGCAGCCGCGGUAAUACGGGGGAUGCAAGCGUUAUCCGGAUUUAUUGGGUUUAAAGGGUGCGUAGGCUGGGAGGUAAGUCAGCGGUGAAAUGCCCCCGCUCAACGGGGUGAAGUGCCAUUGAUACUGCCAUGCUGGAAUGCGGAUGCCGUGGGAGGAAUGUGUGGUGUAGCGGUGAAAUGCAUAGAUAUCACACAGAACACCGAUUGCGAAGGCAGCUCACGAAGCUGCGAUUGACGCUGAUGCACGAAAGCGUGGGUAUCAAACAGGAUUAGAUACCCUUGUAGUC
rnacentral:rRNA from 1 species